rnacentral:rRNA from 1 species
CUGUGCCUACAGGACGCAGCAGUGAGGAAUAUUGGUCAAUGGGAGAGAUCCUGAACCAGCCAAGCCGCGUGAGGGAAGACGGCCCUAUGGGUUGUAAACCUCUUUUGUCGGAGAACAAAACCCGGGACGUGUCCCGGACUGCGUGUAUCCGAAGAAAAAGCAUCGGCUAACUCCGUGCCAGCAGCCGCGGUAAUACGGAGGAUGCGAGCGUUAUCCGGAUUUAUUGGGUUUAAAGGGUGCGUAGGCGGUCCGUUACGUCAGCGGUAAAAUUGCGG